rnacentral:rRNA from 1 species
GAUGAACGCUGGCGGCGUGCUUAACACAUGCAAGUCGAACGGAAAGGCUCCUGCUUGCAGGGGUACUCGAGUGGCGAACGGGUGAGUAACACGUGGGUGAUCUGCCCUGCACUUCGGGAUAAGCCUGGGAAACUGGGUCUAAUACCGGAUAGGAAGAUGGUUUGGAUGCCAUUGUGGAAAGUUUUUCGGUGUGGGAUGAGCUCGCGGCCUAUCAGCUUGUUGGUGGGGUAAUGGCCUACCAAGGCGUCGACGGGUAGCCGGCCUGAGAGGGUGUACGGCCACAUUGGGACUGAGAUACGGCCCAGACUCCUACGGGAGGCAGCAGUGGUGAAUAUUGCACAAUGGGCGCAAGCCUGAUGCAGCGACGCCGCGUGGGGGAUGACGGCCUUCGGGUUGUAAACUCCUUUCGCUAGGGACGAAGCGCAAGUGACGGUACCUGGAGAAGAAGCACCGGCUAACUACGUG